UCCACGCCCUAAACGAUGAACACUAGUCGUCGGGAUGCUAGUCAUCUCGGUGAUGCACUUAACAGAUUAAGUGUUCCGCCUGGGGAGUACGGUCGCAAGAUUAAAACUCAAAGGAAUAGACGGAGCAUGGCCCUUAUGUCUGGGGCUACACACGUGCUACAAUGGGGCGUACAGAGAGUUGCGAUACCGCGAGGUGGAGCUAAUCUCAUAAAGCGUCUCUCAGUUCGGAUUGU
rnacentral:rRNA from 1 species